CACGCCGUAAACGAUGGGUACUAGUUGUUGUGAGCUUAACACUCGCAGUGACGUCGCUAACGCAUUAAGUACCCCGCCUGGGGAGUACGGCCGCAAGGUUGAAACUCAAAGGAAUUGACGGGGGCCCGCACAAGCGGUGGAGCAUGUGGUUUAAUUCGACGCAACGCGAAAAACCUUACCUAGACUUGACAUCUGGAGAAUUCCUUAGAAAUUAGGAAGUGCUCGCAAGAGAGCUCCAAGACAGGUGC
rnacentral:rRNA from 1 species